rnacentral:rRNA from 1 species
UACGUAGGGUGCGAGCGUUAAUCGGAAUUACUGGGCGUAAGCGUGCGCAGGCGGUUCUGCAAGUCAGAUGUGAAAUCCCCGGGCUUAACCUGGGAACUGCGUUUGAAACUACGGAGCUAGAGUGCGGCAGAGGGGGUGGAAGUUCCACGUGUAGCAGUGAAAUGCGUAGAUAUUGGGAGGAACACCAGUGGCGAAGGCGGCUACCUGGACCGGUUCUGACGCUGAUGCGCGAAAGCGUGGGUAGCAACAGGA